rnacentral:rRNA from 1 species
GACGGACGCUGGCGGCGUGCUUAACACAUGCAAGUCGAGCGGUAAGGCUCCUUCGGGAGUACACGAGCGGCGAACGGGUGAGUAACACGUGAGCAAUCUGCCCUUCACACAGGGGUAACUCCGGGAAACCGGUGCUAAUACCUGAUACGACCACUUCAGGCAUCUAAUGGUGGUGGAAAGUUCCGGCGGUGAAGGAUGAGCUCGCGGCCUAUCAGCUUGUUGGUGGGGUAACGGCCCACCAAGGCAACGACGGGUAGCCGGCCUGAGAGGGUGACCGGCCACACUGGGACUGAGACACGGCCCAGACUCCUACGGGAGGCAGCAGUGGGGAAUAUUGGACAAUGGGCGAAAGCCUGAUCCAGCAACGCCGCGUGAGGGAUGACGGCCUUCGGGUUGUAAACCUCUUUCAGCAGGGACGAAGCGCAAGUGACGGUACCUGCAGAAGAAGCACCGGCCAACUACGUGCCAGCAGCCGCAGUAAUAC